rnacentral:rRNA from 1 species
GACGAACGCUGGCGGCGUGCCUAAUACAUGCAAGUCGAACGCAGUGGGGACGGGUGAGUAACACGUGGGUAACCUCCCAUCAGAGGGGAUAACACUUGGAAACAGGUGCUAAACCGAUACUGAUGGAUGGACCUUCGGGGCAUUAGCUAGUUGGUGAGGUAACGGCUCACCAAUGCCACGAUGCAUAGCGGACCUGAGAGGGUGUUCGGCCACCUUGGGGCUGGGAGGCGGCCAAGACUCCUACGAGAGGCAGCAGUUGGGAAUCUUCGACGAUGGACGAAAGUCUGUCCGAGCAACGCCGCGUGAGUGAAGAAGGUUUUCGGAUCGUAAAACUCUGUUGUUAGAGAAUCGGUAUCUAACCAGAAAGCCACGGCUAACUACGUGCCAGCAGCCGCGGUAAUUC